AACGCUAGCUACAGGCUUAACACAUGCAAGUCGAGGGGCAGCGGGGAGAGUAGCAAUACUUUCCGCCGGCGACCGGCGCACUGGUGAGUAACACGUAUGCGACCUGCCCUCCACAGGGGGAUAAACCAUGGAAACGUGGCCUAAUACCCCAUAUGCCGUUAUGCUGCAUGGCAUUCCGGUGAAAGACGAGUCGGUGGAGGAUGGGCAUGCGGCGCAUUAGCUUGUUGGCGGGGCAACGGCCCACCAAGGCGACGAUGCGUAGGGGUUCUGAGAGGAAGGUCCCCCACACUGGUACUGAGACACGGACCAGACUCCUACGGGAGGCAGCAGUGAGGAAUAUUGGUCAAUGGGCGGGAGCCUGAACCAGCCAAGUCGCGUGGGGGAUGACGGUCCUACGGAUUGUAAACCCCUUUUGCCGGGGAGUAACGUGUGGGACGUGUCCCGCAGUGAGAGUACCCGGAGAAAAAGCAUCGGCUAACUCCGUGCCAGCAGCCGCGGUAAUACGGAGGAUGCGAGCGUUAUCCGGAUUUAUUGGGUUUAAAGGGUGCGCAGGCGGCGCGUCAAGUCAGCGGUCAAAUCCCGGUGCUCAACGCCGGUCCGCCGUUGAAACUGCCGUGCUCGAGUUCGUGCGAGGAGAGCGGAAUGCGUGGUGUAGCGGUGAAAUGCAUAGAUAUCACGAAGAACUCCGAUUG
rnacentral:rRNA from 1 species